GGUUGAUAUCACAAAAAAAUUAGCUUUCAGUAAGAUUUUUAUUUUUUCAUUCGCUUCUAUUCUAAUAUAGUCAUAUUUGACUGCAAUCAGUACAAUUGUGACUGUUUUUCAGGACCAUCUUUCCUUUUCCAACAACGUUCUUGUAUGUAUGUAUGUAUGUAUGUAUGUGUUCACAUAGCAAGUGCAAAAACCUUUACCAAGCUUCACACCAUUCCGAUGAAGUCAAAUAUACACCAAAGAGCACCAGAGGUUAUUUAGCAUUGGUGAUGACUGAUAACUUUCAGUCCUGCAGCGUGUGAGCUUGUGUUGUGUAAGAAAUAUGUAUCAUAAAUGACAUCCAUACACAUGACUGGUGUUUCCAUGUGUUUGUAAUUUAAUAAAAAGACAUUUACGUCUGAAAUUCAAAGGAUUUCUUUGCAGUGUGACAUUAAGCUCUGUAUCUGUCAAGAUAUCAUCUCUCUAAAAUCUGAUAUACCUUUACAACAGCAUUAAGAAAACAACUUUAAAACGUAGUACUUUCAUAUAAGUUGUAUUUACAGAAUGUACAUCACGCAGUGAAACACUCUAACGGCUAAUAUCAUGUUACGAUACGUCACUGUACACAGAUCAGACAACUGUACAGGAGAUUCUUCAACAGUCUGACGCAAGAGAUCUUGUGAAAAAACAACACCCACUCGUGUUCAGAUUGGCACAGAUGAGCAAAAUAAAGUCCAAUGGAAUGAAAAGCGACUGAUCUUCAAACUCGGUGAUCCCCAAAACACGACUGAUGAUGCAUAGAAACGAGUGAAUGUGAUUGGGUUUAAUAUCAGCUGCUGCCACACGACGUCAAUGUAAAUCCAGUAACACAACAAAAGUUAAGGCAAACAACACUUCAGAUACAGACAGAUGAAUCUCACAAACAGGUCCGGAUCAUAGUUCACUCAACAAUGAAGAAGAGACACUUUUGCAUGAAGAAAAUGAAGCCAAAACUCACAGACCACUGGGGUGUUCAGAAAUUUUAGAACUUAGCUACAAAUAUUUUUAACGUAAUGCAAAAAAUAAAAAAAAAUAAAAAAAAAAUUCUAAAAUAAAACUUAAAAUGCAAAAUAUUUGUACAAUAUAGCACUAUUUCCUGUAUUUCCUCUGUUUAUGUAAAUAAAGUCAAAGUAUCAAAGUAUUACAGUAAUGAGAAUCUAAAGAGAGCCACUAUUCAUAAUGACAAACAUUAAACACAAAUCAUAAGGAAAAUUUCCAGGAAUUAUGUUUUGUUUUCUAUAUCAUUCUACAGCAAAGAUGAUUUUGUUAAUUUGAGGAAAACCAAUGAGGUUAAUAAAAACCAGGCAACAUUUUCUUUAUGCAAAAUAUGAUUUCCUGUAUUUUCUGUUGAUCUGAGUGUGAAUAAUCACCUGGACAUGUUGUUUGUGAGAUUGAUCUCCAGUAGUGCAGACUGAGGUCUGCCGGACAGAAUCACACUCCAAGACUGACCUCGAGGUCUGAGAAGGUCAAAUAAUCCACCAACCUCCAGAAAAACCAGCCCGGAUCCAUCACAGCCAAACUUCACAUGACUGACGCCAGUCGCAUAAAACAGUCCAUAGAGAGUCACGCUGUAGCGUCUCCAAACCUGCUUCAGUUCAUUCUGAGUCUGAACACCGGCGUGUGAAACAGAUCCUUAGUUUGAGAGAGAUGAUCCGAGAGACACACACACGGGGGAAUGUGUGAAGUGUGUGCGCGAUUGCACUGUGUGCUAGCUUUGAAGAACAGUUAUUAAACAAAACACAACACCGUUCUGUCAUCUGUAUGUGUGUGUGUUACUGCGGUUAGCAGACCGCGGGGGCUGUGUUCCCGUCCCUGCGUCCCUGUUUCUUCAGGAGCUGGAUGCGGUUGUGGCAGUAGAACUUGAUGGCCCUCCAGUCGCGCUGGUUGCUGACCAGCAGAGGGCAGAGCUGCAGGCACCGCUCACAGUCCGCUUUCGCAGGAACACGCAGCUCCAUGAUGUUCCUCUUCAGGUGCGUCUCCACGGCGACCCGCUCCGCCUCCGACCACGGCCGCUUCAGCACGCCGCGCUUCCCUGAGACACACACACACACACACACACACACACA
ensembl:lncRNA